UUAACUGAAACCAAAAUUGAGGUAUAUUACUGUUAAUAAUAUAAUUGAAUGACUUAUUCCAGUUAAG
rnacentral:tRNA from 1 species